UCCCUGGUGGCUCAUAUGGUAAAGCGUCUGUCUCCAGUGCAGGAGACCUGGGUUCAAUCCCUGGGUUGGGAA
rnacentral:tRNA from 1 species